AUCUCCAGCAAUGUAGGUCUACUUCAGUGGCGUACGGGUGCGUAACACGUGAGUGAUCUACCGGUAAGUGGGGGAUAGCCCGCCGAAAGGCGAAUUAAUACCGCAUGUGGCUUGGGGUGUUUUCACCCCUUCGCUAAAGUCAUUUUGACGCUUUCCGAUGAGCUCGCGGCCUAUCAGCUUGUUGGUGGAGGUAAUGGCCCACCAAGGCAAUGACGGGUAGCUGGUCUGAGAGGACGAUCAGCCACACUGGAACUGAGACACGGUCCAGACACCUACGGGUGGCAGCAGUCGAGAAUUUUUCACAAUGGGGGCAACCCUGAUGAAGCAACGCCGCGUGGAGGAUGAAGGGCUUCGCGCUCGUAAACUCCUGUCAAGUGGGAACAAGAAAGUGAUAGUACCACUAGA
rnacentral:rRNA from 1 species